rnacentral:rRNA from 1 species
AGUGAACGCUGGCGGUAGGCCUAACACAUGCAAGUCGAACGGCAGCACAGUAAGAGCUUGCUCUUACGGGUGGCGAGUGGCGGACGGGUGAGGAAUACAUCGGAAUCUACUUUUUCGUGGGGGAUAACGUAGGGAAACUUACGCUAAUACCGCAUACGACCUACGGGUGAAAGCAGGGGAUCUUCGGACCUUGCUCUAUUGAAUGAUCCGAUGUCGGAUUAGCUAGUUGGCGGGGUAAAGGCCCACCAAGGCGACGAUCCGUAGCUGGUCUGAGAGGAUGAUCAGCCACACUGGAACUGAGACACGGUCCAGACUCCUACGGGAGGCAGCAGUGGGGAAUAUUGGACAAUGGGCGCAAGCCUGAUCCAGCCAUACCGCGUGGGUGAAGAAGGCCUUCGGGUUGUAAAGCCCUUUUGUUGGGAAAGAAAAGCAGCAGGUUAAUACCCCGCUGUUCUGACGGUACCCAAAGAAUAAGCACCGGCUAACUUAGUG